UACAGAGGUCCCAAGCGUUGUUCGGAUUCACUGGGCGUAAAGGGUGCGUAGGUGGUGGGGUAAGUUUGAUGUGAAAUCUCCGAGCUUAACUCGGAAAAUGCAUUGAAUACUAUUCCGCUGGAGGAUUGGAGGGGGGACUGGAAUUCUCGGUGUAGCAGUGAAAUGCGUAGAUAUCGAGAGGAACACCGGUGGCGAAGGCGAGUCCCUGGACAAUACCUGACACUGAGGCACGAAAGCUAGGGGAGCAAAC
rnacentral:rRNA from 1 species